rnacentral:rRNA from 1 species
UACUGAGGAAAAGGAAACCAACCGGGAUUGCCUCAGUAACGGCGAGUGAAGCGGCAAAAGCUCAAAUUUGAAAUCUGCGUAAGCCGAGUUGUAAUUUGAAGAUGGCUACUUUGGUAAUGGCUCUUGUCUAUGUUCCUUGGAACAGGACGUCACAGAGGGUGAGAAUCCCGUGCGAUGAGAUGUCCAUUACCGUGUAAAGUGCUUUCGAAGAGUCGAGUUGUUUGGGAAUGCAGCUCUAAGUGGGUGGUAAAUUCCAUCUAAAGCUAAAUAUUGGCGAGAGACCGAUAGCGAACAAGUACAGUGAUGGAAAGAUGAAAAGAACUUUGAAAAGAGAGUGAAAAAGUACGUGAAAUUGUUGAAAGGGAAGGGCUUGAGAUCAGACUUGGUAUUUUGUAUGGCUUGCUUUCGGGCGGGUCCUCUGCAGUUUACUGGGCCAGCAUCGGUUUGGGUGGCAGGAUAAUAGCAUAGGAAUGUGGCUCUACUUCGGUGGAGUGUUAUAGCCUUUGUUGAUACUGCCUGCCUAGACCGAGGA